CCACACUACCACCUCCUCAUGUAGCUCCAUCUUCUGAUCUAAAAGAGUCUGGGUGAUCUAAAGGAAGGAGCUUAAAUCAGCCAUCCAGAGCCUUUAGCGCGAGCUAGUACUCUCGAAAAAGAUUAUCUGAUCAGAGCUUCGAGUGGAUGACCUAUAAAGGUUAGAUGAGCUGUGUGGCUACUCAGCAUCAGAAAGAACCUCAUACCAUAUUGGAAAAUGUAGGC
rnacentral:lncRNA from 1 species